rnacentral:rRNA from 1 species
AUUGAACGCUGGCGGCAGGCCUAACACAUGCAAGUCGAACGAGUGGCGGACGGGUGAGUAAUGUCUGGGAAACUGCACGAUGGAGGGGGAUAACUACUGGAAACGGUAGCUAAUACCGCAUACCAUCGGAUGUGCCCAGAGGGGAUUAGCUAGGAGGUGGGGUAACGGCGCACCUAGGCGACGAUCCCUAGCUGGUCUGAGAGGAUGACCAGCCACACUUGAACGGAGACACGGUCCAGACUCCUACGUGAGGAAGCAGUGGGGAAUAUUGCACAAUGGGCGCAAGCCUGAUGUAGCCAUGCCGCGUGUAUGUAGAAGGCCUUCGGGUUGUAAAGUACUUUCAGCGAGGAGGCGUUACUCUCAGAAGAAGCACCGGCAAACUCCGUGCCAGCAGCCGCGGUAAUAC